GGAAUGCACCAUAGCUCAGUAGCAGAGCAUCUGUUUUGUAUGCAUAAGGAUCCCGGUUCAAUCCCAGGUGUCUCCA